CCUACGGGCGGCAGCAGUGGGGAAUAUUGCGCAAUGGGCGAAAGCCUGACGCAGCGACGCCGCGUGAGGGAUGAAGGUCUUCGGAUCGUAAACCUCUGUCAGCAGGGAAGAACGGUCACUGUGCUAAUCAGCAGUGAAUUGACGGUACCUGCAAAGGAAGCACCGGCUAACUCCGUGCCAGCAGCCGCGGUAAUACGGAGGGUGCGAGCGUUAAUCGGAAUUACUGGGCGUAAAGCGCUCGUAGGCGGUAUGUCAAGUCAAGGGUGAAAUCCCCGCGCUCAACGUGGGAACUGCCUUUGAAACUGGCAAACUGGAGUGUGUGAGAGGAUAGUGGAAGUCCAGGUGUAGGAGUGAAAUGCGUAGAUAUCUGGAGGAACAUCAGUGGCGAAGGCGACUAUCUGGCACAUAACUGACGCUGAGGAGCGAAAGCGUGGGUAGCAAACAGGAUUAGAUACCCUGGUAGUC
rnacentral:rRNA from 1 species